GACGAACGCUGGCGGCGUGCUUAACACAUGCAAGUCGAACGGAAAGGCCCCUUCGGGGGUCCUCGAGUGGCGCACGGGUGAGUAACACGUGAGUAACCUGCCCUUGACUUCGGGAUAACUUCAGGAAACUGGGGCUAAUACCGGAUAGGAAUCCUUGCUGCAUGGUGGGGGUUGGAAAGCUUCGGCGGUUUUGGAUGGACUCGCGGCUUAUCAGCUUGUUGGUGGGGUAGUGGCUUACCAAGGCUUUGACGGGUAGCCGGCCUGAGAGGGCGACCGGCCACAUUGGGACUGAGAUACGGCCCAGACUCCUACGGGAGGCAGCGGUGGGGAAUAUUGCACAAUGGGCGGAAGCCUGAUGCAGCAACGCCGCGGGCGGGAUGACGGCCUUCGGGUUGUAAACCGCUUUCAGCAGGGGCGAAGCUUGUGGUGACGGUACCUGCAGAAGAAGCACCGGCUAACUACGUG
rnacentral:rRNA from 1 species